CUCCAAUCAAAAGACAAAGAGUGUCAGAAUGGAUGAAAGCAAUGAUGUGACCCUACAUUACCCAUAAGAGACUCACAGAAGAGCCAGAGAUACCAUAGACAGAAAGUGUUUGGAUGGAAGAAGACACUGUGUGGUAAUGGCAACCAAAAGAGAGCAGGGUGACUAUGUAAAUUAGACUUUAAGUUUUAAAAGUUACCAAAGAAAAAGAUAGUUUACAUGAAUAAAGUCCAACACAGCAAAAGUACUCAACAGUUAUGAAUCAUUUGCAUACCUAAUGACAGACCAUCAGUAUAUACGAAGGAAAACCCAACAGGAUUGAAGGGAAAAAUAGACAGUUAUACAACAAGAGUUGGAAACUUUAAUAAUCAUUCUCUGCCAUGGAACAACAAAGCAGAAAAUAAACAGGAAAACCCAGCUGGAUCCAACAGCUGUUGUUGGGUAGAUUUCUAUAUACAACAGUGUACACACACUCUUCUCAAGUGCAGGUGGAAGGUUCUCGAGGGUAGACCAUGUGUUAGACCACAAAUUGUCUCAAUAGAUUUUCACAAAUACGUACAGUACAAAGUACCUUCUCCCAUGAUAACAGGAUCUAGUUAGAAACCAAUAACAGAAGUAGAACUGGGAAAAUCACAAAACUGUGGAAAUUAGACAAUAUGCAACUGAACAGCCAACAGAUCAAAGAAGAAAUUACAAGAGAAAUUAGAAAAUUUCAAAAUUUAU
rnacentral:lncRNA from 1 species